rnacentral:lncRNA from 1 species
GGGUGUAUAUGGGCUUGGGUUAACCUAAUCUCCCAUAGAGUUGGUCAAGGGAGUUUUGGGUUUGGGUCACUUGACCCUGUGUUUAUAUAUACAUGUACUGUGUAUUGGUUUGAUUAAGCCAAAGAAAAUAUAGAACUCUUUCUCCCAAGUCUCUCUCUCUUCUCCCUCUCUCUCCAGCCAUUCUCCAUGCCCCAGGAGCAAGAAACCCUAGGGUUUUUUGCCACCAGGUCCAUAAAAGGAAAGAAAAGCAAGGAGGCGCUAGCCCCUUCCCCCUUGCAGCCACCGACUCUCUCUCUUCUCCCUCUCUUGCAGUCAUCCAAACAUUAGGUCCAGGACCUGGGAUCUCUUGAGAAGAGGUUGAUACAAGUCUCUCUCAGAUCUGGAGUUGAUCUGAGGUCGUUGAGGUGCGGGUGAGAUCUCCAUCAACGGAUCUACAGGAAAGGUUGCAGCAGGAUAGAUCUGCAAGGUCUAUCUCCAUCUACCUUCUUUUCUAUCUAAAAUACCCCGAUUCAAGAUCUACAACUUAGAAGACCUCGGUCCAGGUCUAAUCUGGUUGGAUACCAGAUCUUGGAUUUUUCAGAGGUGAUUUCAGAGGCGUUCUUCAUCUGGAACGAAAGGCUGAUGAAGAAGACAGCAACCAGGCUAAUUUUGUCAAGGGCCU